rnacentral:rRNA from 1 species
CAGGACGAACGCUGGCGGUGUGCUUAACACAUGCAAGUGGUGCGACGAACCAGAGCUUGCUCUGGGGCAAAGCCGCGAACGGGUGAGUAACACGUGGGUAAUCUACCCCGAUGACCGGGACAACCCGAGGAAACUCGGGCUAAUACCGGAUGUGGUACGGAGACAUAAGUCUCUUUACUAAAGGUAGCUUCGGCUUCCGCAUUGGGAGGGGCCCGCGGCCCAUUAGCUAGUUGGUGGGGUCAAGGCCUACCAAGGCAAUGAUGGGUAGCUGGUCUGAGAGGACGAUCAGCCACACUGGGACUGAGACACGGCCCAGACUCCUACGGGAGGCAGCAGUGGGGAAUCUUGCGCAAUGCGCGAAAGCGUGACGCAGCAACACCGCGUGAGGGAAGACGGCCUUAGGGUUGUAAACCUCUUUCAGAUGGGACGAAGGUGAUGCGGUGAAUAGCCGAUGUCAUUGACGGUACCGUCAGAAGAAGCUCCGGCUAACUACGUG